GUCUGCGGUCUGAGACAGGGGACGAGGCAUGUUUUCUGAAAGGGGCCGGACAGGAAGCACUUCAGGCCUGUGGCACAGAGGCAGCCGGGGACAGCAGCUCGCAAGUGGGCGUGACCCCUUCCCCCAGGCCGGGCGGCGGUCUGAUGCAGCUCAAGGGCUACCGUUCCACGUUUGGAAUACGAGCCCCUUAGUCCUGUGUGACUUCAGCACGACGGCCCUGGGUCACGCAAGGCUCACGUGCUCCGCGACCGCGCCCUGCUUACGCUAGACUUCGGCUCGGUGCUGGAGGUGAGCUUCUCGACAGCUCACAGGAGCACAGGAGAGGGCACAUUCGCGGGGAUUCGUGGGCCAGACAGCCGCCACGUAGAGACUUAUUCCAGAUCGAGCCUCCCCACGUCUGGACACGCGUGGAUUUCCAGAGACAAACUCGGGCCGUUCCGUUCUGGCGAAGCGUCGCUAAUUCCCGCCGUACGAUAACGGUGCGGCACCGGAUUCUAGAAAUUAGGCCUCCGAGAUCCAUUAGCUGCGUGGUGCACCAUUGCUAAACGAAUGGCUGUAUUAUUAUCAAGGUAAUUCCAACCAGAUUUCAAGCCGUGACCAUAAAGUGGCUCUUGGAGUGGGUCGGGGCUUGUUCGGAAAUUGCCGGUUCGAUGAGAACAGUUAUGUUUCCAGGUUGGAAUUUUGGUUUUUGUGAAAUUCGGAACAGAAUUUUACCAGUGUGGUAAUAGCAUACUCAGGCCACCUGUGAUGAUCGGCUAAUAACGAAACGGAAUCUCUCUCACUCCGUCUAGCUGGUGGUGGUUUUUGGCGUAAGAUUACCCGGUUCUCCGCGGUGUCCAGGAUUCACAGGGAUGCUCAGUAACUCCCGCCAGGAAUCGUGUCCCUGAGAAGAGUUGACUCGAAUCCAGGACCAUCUCUCAGAUAUGGUCACACUGGCCAUGCCUUGCUCCCGAAGCCCGAUUUCUGUUCCCCGUACCCACUUUCAGUGCAAACAGGGCCCUGGGGGGGGACAGAGUGUGGGAAUCAGAUUCCCCCUUAGACCCUCCCUCUUGCUCUGAGGCCGAAGGCACAGAAGCCGGCACUGUAUGCUCUGUGACCGGACGACCGUCCCCUGAGGCCUCAUUGCUGUAACCCCGGGAUUGGUCUGUUCCACCCUCCGUGCCGUGCACAGUGUGGUAGGUGGUCCGUGAACGUGUGCCAAGUGAAUGAAGGUCCUGCGUCGUUUGUGCGCUGGGGAGCCCUGAGCGUGCCAUGGCCACAGGACCAGAGUCACACCCCCCCUCCCGCUUCCCUCACCAGGUGUCAACACUCCCUCAUAAUGAAAGGUCAUUGCCAGCCGGCACUGAAUGUCUUUCAUGAUUCUACAAGUGGCAUUAACUCAUCAAAUCCUCACCUCACCUGGGAGGCAGAUACUAUUACUGUUCCCCUUUCACAAAUGAGGAAACUGAGGCACAAAGAAGGAAGACCACCAUGAAGAAAGCUGGAAUGUCGUCCGUCCAGAAGGGGUGGCCCCCGCUGCCUGGGUCCACGCUGCUGCCCACCCCUGGCUAGCCGGUCCUACUGCUUCUGUGCUUUAACUUUCUGGUUUGGAAGGUGGGGACGGCAAGGCCAGCCACCUGUGGGACCGUGGGACUUGUGGGCACUUGUCCAUCCCCUUCCCCAGAUCCCCGAGGGGUUAGUCGCUGGAAGUAUCCGAGCAUUUCAAGACUCAUACUGUCCUUUGCUUCCAGACACAGUUGUUCCUCUGCCCUGAGACCCUGGGUGCGUUCGGACUCAUCAGCGAAUAAUUCUCUGUCUCUGGUGUCACAGUACCUAUGGGGAAUCGUACCAAUUCCCUUCCCAUCCUGAUCCCCCGUGUGUACUGUGACACCAGAGCGAAGGACCCGGAGACGGUACGUAAACCACUCCUGUACGGUGGGGAUUGAGCUGAAGCUAUGCUAAGCGCUCCCCUGGGCUUAGCCCGCUGGGGUCCCCUCCGCAGCCCCACAUCUUACAGCCGAGAAGCUAAGUCACAGCUCAGGUGUGCAAUUGCCCCGGGCCACACAGCUAGAGGGGUGCAAACCCAGAGCUCCAGGCUCCGGUGCCCACACACACCCCCAUCCCCCCGUGUCCUGUGUGCAGCAGAAUUGCGGAAGGGGGUCCGUUCCUUGGGUGUUUCCCACGAAACCGAAUGGUGGGCAGGUGCACCUUAUCCUGACGGGCUCUGCCCACUGGCUGCGGCCCGGGAGCCAGACCUGCCCUGCUGUCUGUUCUUACAAACAAAAUGGUCUUGGAGCACAGCAGACUGUCCUCAUCGUCUCUGCCACGAGGACAGCAGAGGUGAAUCGUGCUUCAGAGUUUGCAGCCCGCCCUGUGUGGAUCCUGCUCCCAUCACGUGGGCGGGCAGAGAGGGGCAGACACACAGAACCCCACAAACGCUUACCCUGCCUUCCCCGUGCUCCAGAAUCAGCCCUUCUCCGGGUUCUGGCUGCUGAAGCUCCCUCUUUCUGGCAAGUGGCCGGGACCAGGGUGGUGGCAAUGCCGUCUCCCGAGGUGCUGGCCCACCGGCUGCCGGGGGAGAGAGACUGGGUGUGCCUGGCCGUGGGCAGUGUCCUGGGGCUUCUUGACUAUCAGGACAGUGGCUGUCCGAGAAACCCGGAGGGGCAGAGGGGAGCCGGCCACGUGCGCCCUGUGUAGCAGGGGCAUCCCGGCGGGACCUGAGCUCGGAUCAGCACUCGGGGUCCAGGCUGCAGGGCGGGGAGAGUGGCCACAUGAUGCUGCGAUCCAGACCUUGCGUGGUUGAUGAGAGGAAUCUAGAAUCCACCCAGCUACUCCCACCUUGCCAUGGGAAUGGUUCCGUGAUUUAUUAUUUUAAUUAAGGGCUUUUAAGCUUUAAUUUAAAAAGUUAAAUAAGCUGUCUUUGUAUGUAAAUUGCGGCAGAGCGAGUUAUCACACAGUGGCCGAUGCAGGCUCUGACGAGAUAGCACUCUCCCGGCAGGACCCCAGUCGCCGAAUCCCCGUGGCCCGAUGCCGUAACUCCACGCGUGGGCAUCUCGGCUCCGAGCGGAGAUGCCUUCCCUGGGGUGGCCAGGCCCAGUCUGCUUUGGUGAGAGCCGUGCCUCCCUUGCCCCAGGCACAGCCUCUCCUGACCUGCGACAUCUGGGCGUGACCUUGUGGGCACCCAAGGCUGGCACUGUCUAGUGGCCUCGUGGAGCUGUUUUUACCCCCGACGCCCCCUUGCUCCUUCCAGGGAAGCAGCCGUAUUCAAAACGCAGACGCUUGUGGAGUUACGGGUCAGCUUUCGGUUCCUUGGCACGCUGUAGGAAGGGGGUCCCCGUGGGCGCGGAAGGCCACAGGGGGCAAGUCUGCAGAUUCCAGGCUCCAGCCGGUACCUCCUGCCUCUCCCUGCCUUGUCCCGGAUCUUGCCGUCAGCGCUUAGGACACAUCCGCUCCUGGUUGCUCUCUGCGUUUCGGGCACAGCGGGGCAGGCCGGAGGGUCUGCUCUGGGGCCUUAGGGGCGCCACCACACUCCAUCCUCACAUCCGUCCCGCGAAACAGGUCCUCUCCCUGCCCUGACGGGUCGAGUAACCGUGGCCCGGUCUCGCUGCCACGAACCUGGAUGUCCGUGGUUCCCAGCCCAGGCCGCCCCCGCCUGAGUGCAAAUGCAGUGCUUCCUGAAGCCCCCUCCUUCGGGGAGCGAUGGCAGUGCACUAGCCGAGCCCCAGCUGUGUCCCAGGCAACCCGGCGCCAUGGAAUCGUGUGCUCUUGCCCCAUAAUGACCUCCGUCUAAGGCACUUUGCAGCCGUAGCAUCGGGCAGAUGUGAAGCUGAAGCCAGGCAGGUUCAGCACCUGUCAAGACGAUGCGGGUCCUGCAUGCAGCCCGACCUGCUGGGGACCGAGCUCAGCUCUUUCCACAGCCCCCCUACCUGCCCAAGGUGACGUUCCUUCUGCCCCCGACUUCUGCGUCCCAUUCCCCCACCUUGCGUGGCCACCUGUCCCCAGUGGCCUCGGAGGAGGGCGCCCAUGUCUGUCUCCAGAUCUCCACUUUCCGGACGUUGGGUUUAGGGCCUUUCUGAUCCAGGCAACCUCGUCCUGAGAUCCUUGGUUCAAGUCCCUCUGCAAAGACCCUUACCCCAGUCACGUUCUGAGGUUCCAAAUGUGCACACAGUCUGGGGACUCUUCACCCCUUAGGCCCGUUGAGCACAGCGCACGUCCUUCCGUGUGCAGCCCCCUGCAAGCACACUCACCUUUGAGACCUUCGGAGCGAUCCAGAAAGGCAUCGAAGGCAGGCCCAGGGCAGACGCAGUGCCCCUCCUGGAAUUAAACAGUCAAGUUCCCAGAGGUAAAGGGGACGGCGGGCAGUGGUAAAUCUGCGGGUUUCCUCCACGUGGAGUAACGCUGAGCCUCUCAGAUGGGAGCGUGUGUUAGCAUUGCUGUCGUGGGAAUGAGUGAGCAGGUACCUGGGAGCGGGCACCUGGCUCACCUCCGGGGCACACCUGGGAAUGGGCACCUGGGCUGGAUGGGUGCCGCUGACCCGGCCUGAGGGCUGUGGCGGAAGGGGCGGCCGAGUGAGCCUGUCCCCCACUCCCUGGGCAGGAGGCUCCCCAGGUCCUGCCCGCCUCCGUUGGAAGCAUCCAUCCGCUCAAGGCCGGUUCCUGGCGGGUGCUGCCCCUCCCCUCUCACUCACGAUGCCUGGGGGGGGGGGGGCAGCUCUUAGCUGUAAAGGCUGCGUAUGUCCCUCGUCCGCAUCACACAGCCAAGAGCAGUCAUUUCUGUGCAUGACACGAACGGGAGCUCGGGGAAGAUCGAGCCUAAACCACGUGUGAACCAGAAGGGUGGGUCUGGUGAAAAUCCCUCGCAGAGAAAUGGACAGUGCUCCUCCGUCGGCCACCGAGUAGAUCGACCAAGUGUGGUGUUUUCACGCGACGUGGUAUUACCCGGCCUUAAAAAGUUAGGGGAUUCUGAUAGGGGCUGCGACACACGUGAACCUUGCUCAUGUUAUGCUCAGCGAGAUAAGCCAGACAUCGAAGGACAAAUACCGUGUGAUUCCACUCGUCCGAGGUCCCCGGAGGAGCCCAAACCACAGCGAUAGAGAAUAGACGGGGUGCCAGUCCCUGGGAGGUGGGAUGGGAGUGCCCGGUGGACACCGAGUUCCAGUUUUGCACAGUGAGAAGGUGCUAGAAGACCAGUGCGCGUCGGUUAGCACAACAGUCCCAUGCAGUUAAACACGGUGAGGAUGGAGGGCCGCUGCCUGGGGUACCACCUUCUAAAGAGCCCCGAGGAAGAAGGAAGGUCGGCAGGCAGGGCAGACAGCACGCUGGGGGAGCCCUUUGCGGGUCCUGACGUUGUGCAGAAUCAGGGAGAGUGAGCUGGUCCAGGGGAGGGUUUCUGGUUCCAGCUGAGCCCUGGGCCCCGGGAAGCAAGAAACCACCAGAGAGGAGCCCACGGAGCGUCACCCGUUAGCCUCCCAGAGGAGGGGUGAAAAGUCCCCGUCGCUGCAGCCCCUGGCCCCAGGCGGUGCUCGUGACUCAUUUUGCCAUUUGCCUUGGGAUUGGCUC